rnacentral:rRNA from 1 species
AGUGAACGCUGGCGGUAGGCCUAACACAUGCAAGUCGAACGGCAGCACAGUAAGAGCUUGCUCUUACGGGUGGCGAGUGGCGGACGGGUGAGGAAUACAUCGGAAUCUACUUUUUCGUGGGGGAUAACGUAGGGAAACUUACGCUAAUACCGCAUACGACCUGCGGGUGAAAGCAGGGGAUCUUCGGACCUUGCGCGAUUGAAUGAGCCGAUGUCGGAUUAGCUAGUUGGCGGGGUAAAGGCCCACCAAGGCGACGAUCCGUAGCUGGUCUGAGAGGAUGAUCAGCCACACUGGAACUGAGACACGGUCCAGACUCCUACGGGAGGCAGCAGUGGGGAAUAUUGGACAAUGGGCGCAAGCCUGAUCCAGCCAUACCGCGUGGGUGAAGAAGGCCUUCGGGUUGUAAAGCCCUUUUGUUGGGAAAGAAAAGCAGCAGGUUAAUACCCCGCCGUUCUGACGGUACCCAAAGAAUAAGCACCGGCUAACUUCGUG